GCUAAAAUAACUUAUAGCCGACGAAAUACCCUAAUAUUUCGUCGGCUAAACCUAAACUUUUUCUUGUUACAUACUAUAGCCCUAUCUUCGGUGGUUAUUUUGCGUAAAAUUUUUAUACGACUUAUUGUGUCUCAUCGAUUUGAAAAUAUUUUCAGUUGAAGGUCCGGCCAAAAUACGAAAUUUUGACGGUCCAACAACCUUUUCCGUGCAUUUAGGGGUUUGACUUACGGGAUUGACCGUCCGGAUCGAGCACUUAACCUUGUCAGAUCAAGUUGAAUUUUUUCUCAUACAUGUAUUUUAUCAUGAUGGUCAGAUCUGACCGUCGGAUUUCCUUUUCUCAAGUUUGAUCAUCACAAUCACAACAUGCUUACUAAUGUUGUAUAACUUGUUUACAAGUGUUAAGUAAAUGUUUCGUUUCAAAAACAAACUAUAUGUAGAACCUUCAAACGUAAAAAAGUCGUGAAAUAAGACAUGACCAGAAUGGUGAAAUACCUCUACGGUUGAAAAAUCACGGUAUUCCGGUCAUGGUCGGUGCCGAUAGUUGCGGUCAAUGCGAUUUUCCAUUCUUUCUCCCUAUGGGUAGCCCUACCUUCGGUGGUUAUUUUGCAUAAAAUUUUUUUAGGACUUGUUGCGUCUCAUCGGUUUGAAACUAUUUUCAGUUGAAGGUCCGGCCAAAAUACAUAAUUUAGACACUCCAAUGACCUUUUCCGUGCGUUUAGGGGUUUGACUUAACAGAUUGACCGUCCGGAUCGAGCCCUUAACCUUGUCGGAUCAAGUUGAAUUUUUUUCCAUACAUGUAUUUUAUCAUGAUGGUCAGAUCUGACGGUCGGAUUUUCGUUCUAAAGUUUGAUCAUCACGAGCAGCAGUCACAGUUAGACGAAUGUAUAAAAAGUUAUAAAACCGACGAAUUUAAAAGAUUAUAGCCGACGAAAUUACUACAUUCGUCGGCUAAAGUGUUAGCCGACGAAAUUACUGAGUUCGUCGGCUAAAGUGUUAUGUUAGCCGAC
rnacentral:lncRNA from 1 species